AUCGUGGCUCACUUCAUGUUGUAUCUCAGUGCGGUGAUGAAGGACAUGGAUGGAGUUGGAGGAUGGUCUUACAGCGCAUUUCGAUGCUUGAUUUUGGACACCGAUAAUGCUCCUAUUAAUCUAGGAGUGAAAAGAGGGAAACAAACGCGCAUCAAGCACAUUCAAUUAGUAGAGGAACGAAAGCAAAAGAACUGUUCAAUGGGAUUUGAAGACCAUCACGGCUAUGGAAAUCAGCAAGAGAGAUGGUGAGAAGGAACAAGAUGGAGUAGAUGCGGAUGAAGCUAAAACCGGUCGGAUCCGACGGUGGGCUGCUUCUGGAGCUUGCGAUUCCGCCGGAGAAUACGUCGGUGUCAAUUGCUGGGCCUGUGGCUGGCUGCUUUCUGGUGCCGGAGCUACUGCUACUGCUUUGGAAACUGCCCACACAAAUUAAAGAACAAUUAUUAGAUAAUCAUGCACAAGGAGGUUACCUUGUGGGCUUAGAGGAGAAGCAGCUGCAGUAGGAGAUGGUGCAGCUGGUCCAAGUGAGAUAGGCAAGUUGGUAAUGUUACAAGAACUUGGAAGAACGAGCGCAAGGGCCGCAUUGAUGGGCAGUGGAACAGGCACAUUAGCAGUAAGUAAAAGGCAGACACAGUCCAUGCUUAUCCCCGACAGCGAACUCAGUGUGGU